rnacentral:rRNA from 1 species
GGUUAAGCGACUAAGCGUACACGGUGGAUGCCCUGGCAGUCAGAGGCGAUGAAGGGCGUGCUAAUCUGCGAUAAGCGCCGGUAAGGUGAUAUGAACCGUUAUAACCGGCGAUACCCGAAUGGGGAAACCCAGUGUGACUCGUCACACUAUCAUUAACUGAAUCCAUAGGUUAAUGAGGCGAACCGGGGGAACUGAAACAUCUAAGUACCCCGAGGAAAAGAAAUCAACCGAGAUUCCCCCAGUAGCGGCGAGCGAACGGGGAGGAGCCCAGAGCCUGAAUCAGCAUGUGUGUUAGUGGAAGCGUCUGGAAAGG